rnacentral:rRNA from 1 species
UACGUAGGGUGCGAGCGUUAAUCGGAAUUACUGGGCGUAAAGCGUGCGCAGGCGGUUUUCCAAGUCCGUUGUGAAAGCCCCGGGCUCAACCUGGGAAUGGCAGUGGAAACUAGGGGACUGGAAUCUGGCAGAGGGGGGUGGAAUGCCGCGUGUAGCAGUGAAAUGCGUAGAGAUGCGGCGGAACACCGAUGGCGAAGGCAGCCCCCUGGGCUGAGAUUGACGCUCAGGCACGAAAGCGUGGGGAGCAAACAGG